GUGAACGCUGGCGGUAUGCUUUAUACAUGUGAGUUGAACGUAAAUUAUUUAUAUAAUUUAAGUAGCGAACGGGUGCGUAGAACAUAAGAAUUAACAAAAUAAUCUAGGAUAAAAUACUAGAUAGAAAUGAAAUAAGAAUUUUUAAGUAUUUUUAUUUUAUUGAAAGAUUUAUCGUUAUUUGAAAAGCUUAUGUAGAAUUAGGUAGUUGGUAAGGUAAAGGCUUACCAAGCCUACGAUUCUUAGCUGGUCUGAGAGGAUGAUCAGUCACAUCGGGACUGAAAAUGGCCCGAGCUCCUUUAGGAGCCUGCAGUAGGGAAUAUUGGACAAUGAGCGCAAGCUUGAUCCAGCAAUAUCGCGUGAGUGAUUAAGACUAAUUGGUUGUAAAACUCUUUCGUCGAGGAAGAUAAUGACGGUACUCGAAAAAGAAGUCCCGACUAACCUCGU
rnacentral:rRNA from 1 species